CCUACGGGAGGCAGCAGUUAGGAAUUUUGGGCAAUGGGCGAAAGCCUGACCCAGCAACGCCGCGUGGGUGACGAAGGCCUUCGGGUUGUAAAGCCCUUUUCUGAGGGAAGAUGAUGACGGUACCUCAGGAAUAAGCACCGGCUAACUACGUGCCAGCAGCCGCGGUAAUACGUAGGGUGCAAGCGUUGCCCGGAUUUAUUGGGCGUAAAGGGCGCGCAGGCGGCUACGCACGUCCGUUGUGAAAUCGCUCGGCUCAACUGGGCGGGGUCAGCGGAUACGGCGUAGCUGGAGCAAGCUAGGGGGCAAUGGAAUUCCCGGUGUAGUGGUGGAAUGCGUAGAUAUCGGGAGGAACACCAGUGGCGAAGGCGGUUGCCUGGAGCUUUGCUGACGCUGAGGCGCGAAAGCGUGGGGAGCGAUCCGGAUUAGAUACCCGGGUAGUCCACGCCGUAAACGAUGUCGACUAGGUGUCGGGGGUAUCGACCCCCUCGGCGCCGCAGCUAACGCAUUAAGUCGACCGCCUGGGGACUACGGCCGCAAGGCUAAAACUCAAAGAGUAGUACGGCGUCGAGACGUACGCCGAACGGACGACCACCGACGGGAAGGGUAGGAG
rnacentral:rRNA from 1 species